UACGGAGGGUGCAAGCGUUAUCCGGAUUCACUGGGUUUAAAGGGUGCGUAGGUGGGCAGGUAAGUCCGUGGUGAAAUCUCCAAGCUUAACUUGGAAACUGCCGUGGAUACUAUCUGUCUUGAAUACCGUGGAGGUGAGCGGAAUAUGUCAUGUAGCGGUGAAAUGCUUGAUAUGACAUAGAACACCAAUUGCGAAGGCAGCUCACUACACGCUUAUUGACACUGAGGCACUGAAAGCGUGGGGAUCAAACAGG
rnacentral:rRNA from 1 species